UGGCUCUCGCAUCGAUGAAGAACGCAGCGAAAUGCGAUAAGUAAUGUGAAUUGCAGAAUUCAGUGAAUCAUCGAAUCUUUGAACGCAAAUUGCGCUCUUUGGUAUUCCGAAGAGCAUGCCUGUUUGAGUGUCAUAAAACUCUCACCCUCAAGGUUUUCUAACUUCGAGUGGUGCUUUGGACGUCUGCCGUCUGGCUCGUCUUAAAUGCAUUAGUGGAACAGCGUGAUAAGUCUUCGCUACCCUCCACUCUAAUCACUCUUUUGUUUUGACCUCAAAUCAGGUAGGACUACCCGCUGA
rnacentral:misc_RNA from 1 species